GGAGCACCUAAGCGAUAACUAGAUUUGGGUUGGGAGAAGGCAAAUAUCAAUGGCUUUAUUAUUGACUAAGCACACUGUCGAUCUAGCAAAUCCGGCAAAUCCUCAUUGCAUGAGCCACAAAACGAAUAGAUAUGAAACGCUUGACCGCUUUCGCAUAGAACACAACUUCACAACCCAAAAUAACAAGAGAAAAUCUCCAGACGAAUACAAAAAAAACAAAAAAAACUCUGCAUCUCCUAUGAUUUAAAACCAAGAAACUAAAGCAGAUAAGAAAAGGAGAAGCCACUCACGACAUUGACGAGAAUCGCUGAUCACAGCACC